rfam:Gongylonema pulchrum genome assembly, scaffold: GPTH_contig0011578
GGACCGGUAGUGUAGUGGUAACACAUUACUUCCGAAUGCGAAGAGGACUGGUUCGAUUCCCUCCCGGUCCA